GGACAUCAGGCUCUCUGCCAAGCACCGUGGAUAAAUGAUCCCAUUGUAUUCCACACUGUAUGUGGCAUAGCUUCUGUUCCUAUCUCUGCUUUACAGAUGAGGAAACUGAAGCCUGCAGAGGAGAAGGAUUGCCUUGCAGUGCCUGCAAGAGUUUCAUUUGAAUUCACUCUUCUCUUCAGCCUUAGCACUAAGCUGCACUACAUGAAGAGAGAUCCUGAUAAUUUUGAAACAGGAUUGAUCUUCUUUGAAAUGAAAAUCCAAUUUUAAAACUGACUGAAGGCCGAUCCUAAAAUAAAGAAUGUGUAUCGUCAAUCAGCACAUAGCAAACAGCACUACUGUAUUUCUAAUAAUUCAGGCCAAAAGCCAGCGGGGCUGGGGGCCCACAAAAGGAAGGUGAGCCAGGAGCAUCCGAUGGUGGCUUUCCAGAGAGGGUCUGAGGACCAUGUGAAGAAGGUGAAUUGGUGGCCCCCUGGGGGGAGGGAGGUGGUCCACGUGAGGAAGACCUAAGGCCUAGAACCUCAGCUCUGCUUUCACCAGCUGCAUGGCUGUGAGCAAGACACUUUUUCUGAGGCACAGCUUCUCUGUCAAUAAACUAAGUGACUGGCCUACA